CGGGGUGUAGCAUAAUGGUAGUGUACUCGGUUUGGGACCGAGUGGCCAGGGUUCGAUUCCCUGCUCCCCGACCA
rnacentral:tRNA from 2 species